GAAAAUAAAAUAUGGCGAAAAAUUCUACUGGCGGUCGAAGGCACGGAAGCUCCGUAUGAAAAAGCAAAUUUCUAUGGUAAAAAGUGAUUGUAGCCGUACGAAAAGUGUGACAAACGCAUGGUGAAUGCGCCUAGCAUACGGGACGCAUAGAGAAAGAUGCAGAAUGCUGAACAAUCCGGAGUGAAAAACCGGGAGAAAAUUGUUAAAUCAGUGAAUCAGCAGACUUCGUUGAAAUCGCAGCUGCAGCAGCAGCAGCAGCAGCAGCAGCCUUCAUUGUCGUGUUCGUCUUCGUUGUCUUCGUCCUCCUCAACAUCAUCGGAAGGAGAAGAGACGGCGGCAUUAGUUUCCACUGCCCAGGAAAUAGCAGAAACAGGAGCAGCCAAGACUUCGUCAUCGACAUCAAAGAACAAUAGCAGCAGCAGCAACAACAGCAGCACAAUCGGUGGUGGUAGUAGUAGCAACAGUGGUGGUGGUAGUGUCGACAACAGUGGUAAUAGUGGAGUAACAAGCACAAGUGGAAACGGUGCUACUGCUGCUACUACCAUCGUCGACGUUGUUGCUGGUACGGCCACCACUUCUUCAACAGUUUCGCCCUCAUCUUCCCCGUCAUCAUCGUCGUCGUCAUCGGCGGCCUUGCAUGCAGGGGGGCAGCAGCAGGAUGCGAAUGACGAGUCGGAAUCGGUCGUAGGAACGGCGGCGCAUCCAUUGUCGGUAACGACGGAAGCUGACGCUGCGGCUGGAGCGCUGAGCAGGCUUACACUUGCUGCCGCUGGCUGCCCAGUACCGCCUGUCGGGUCCGAACCGAAUCGGUCCCAGCUGCCUAGCAGCGUGAUUUGUAAAAACAAUUCUAAAAAUAAUGGUAAAACAAUGUCUUCGCCGAAGAGUUCCACCACAACAACAACAGCAGGCGCAACAAAGCCUGCUCCUCCACCAUCGGCCGUGCUCGUGGGUGCCGCCACGGGAUCGACGAGCGCCCCAGGAGCUGGCGAUGGCGUUGGUACCGGCAAACAAGCUAACGGUGAUGGCGAUUGCUGCAAGUCCGCAGCGGGAGAAACCGGAAGUAGCGCUACGACUGGUAGCAUCAACAACAGCAAACCGCCAGCGACCAGCAAUAGCUCGUCUCCGACCAAGUCGGAUACUGAGACGUUCUCCGAGAUACAGCCUCGCGUUUCGGACUCGUCCGAGUCAGAGGAGGAGUCGGUGUCGGAGAUAUUGCUGGCUUGCCUAUGUCUAAGGCCAGAUCUGCUGGUUGACGACUUUGCAUUAGAUCAGCCGUCAUGCGAAAUUCCAGAAACGGAAUGUUCCGAUAGCUGUGAGAAUGACGUCGACAUGGAUGAGUCGGACAGUUGCGACAAUGAUGCCGACGAUAAUGAAGAUUCUGACGAAGACGAGGAAGACGAUGAUGACGAGAUGGUUCAUAGUACGGUACCGGGAAAAUUUCUCCUAGAGAACGAUGAUGAUACCGACCAUGAACGAGACGAAGCAGCGCACGCAUUAACGCGAAUGAAAUCUAGCGAUGGCAGUCCGAGGGAUAAGAAUUUGCUAUCACGUUCGCUGAUUGCGGCCUGCACCGAUAAUGACGUAAACACUGUGCGGCGAUUGCUCGUGGAAGGAAAUUCGCUAAAUGAAGCGACCGAAGAGGGCGAUUCGUUGCUAUCGUUGGCAUGUUCCGCCGGUUACUUCGAGUUGGCUCAGGUACUGCUGGCGAUGUCUGCACAGGUCGACGAUCGUGGCCAAAAGAACGAUUGCACUCCGUUGAUGGAAGCAGCUUCGGCCGGCCACGUGGAAAUCAUUGAACUGCUGUUCAAGCACGGUGCGGACGUGAAUGCGCAAUCCUCUACCGGUAACACUCCGCUGAUGUACGCCUGUGCCGGCGGUCACGAAAAGGCAGUGAAGCUGCUGUUGGACCAGGGUGCUAAGGUGGAGGAUCACAACGAAAAUGGACACACUCCGCUGAUGGAGGCUGCCUCCGCCGGCCAUGUCGGAGUCGCCAAGAUUCUGUUGGAACACGGAGCCGGCAUUAAUACACAUUCGAACGAGUUUAAGGAGAGUGCCCUGACACUGGCCUGCUACAAAGGCCACCUAGACAUGGUCCGUUAUCUGUUGGAGGCGGGUGCUGACCAGGAGCAUAAAACCGAUGAAAUGCAUACGGCCCUGAUGGAAGCGUCCAUGGACGGGCAUGUCGAAGUGGCGCGGCUGCUGCUGGACUCGGGGGCACAAGUAAAUAUGCCGACCGACUCGUUUGAAUCGCCGCUUACGCUAGCAGCCUGUGGUGGACAUGUCGAUCUGGCCAUGCUGCUGAUCGAUCGCGGAGCCAACAUCGAGGAGGUGAACGAUGAAGGUUACACACCGCUGAUGGAGGCCGCUCGGGAGGGUCACGAAGAGAUGGUGGCAUUAUUGCUACAACAGAAUGCGCAGAUCAAUGCUCAAACGGAAGAAACUCAGGAAACGGCUCUUACACUAGCGUGCUGCGGAGGUUUCAUCGAGGUGGCCGAAUAUCUGAUCAAAAACGGUGCAGAUAUUGAGCUCGGUGCGUCGACGCCGCUAAUGGAAGCUGCCCAGGAGGGGCACAUCGAUUUGGUGCGGUUUCUGCUGCAGCAUGGCGCAAACGUACACGCACAGACGCAGACGGGCGACACCGCGUUAACGUACGCGUGCGAAAACGGCCAUACCGAGGUGGCGGACAUCCUGCUCAACUACGGUGCCGAGCUGGAGCACGAGUCGGAGGGUGGCCGCACGCCGCUCAUGAAAGCGUGCCGUGCCGGGCACUGGUGCAUCGUGAAGUUUCUGAUCGAGCGGGGCGCGGACGUGAAUCGGCAUACGACGAACAACGAUCACACGCCGCUCUCGCUAGCGUGCACCGGCGGCCACCAGAACGUGGUGGAGCUGCUGCUGAAAAAUGGUGCGGACCCGUUCCAUCGGCUGAAGGACAGCAGUACGAUGCUGAUCGAGGCAGCGAAGGGUGGCCACAUCGGCGUCGUUCAGCUGCUGCUCGACUAUCCGCACUCGCUAAUGAACGCGAACGCGGCUGCGCAGCAACAGAACAUGCUGAGCAGUGGCCAGAUGCAACAACUGCAGCAGCAACAGCAGGUUCAUCAGCAACAACUGCAACAGCAACAUCAGCAGGCUCAGCAGCUAAUCAUUACGCAAAACCAUCAGCAACACCAGCACCACCAGCAGCAGCUGCAGCAAGCGCAGCAGCAGCAGCAGCAGCAGCAACAGUUGCUAGCCGGUCCGCCCGGUUUGCGCGAAGUUCCGGAAGCGAUUCGCGUGAGUAACAAGCAAAUUUUCCAACUGCCAAGCAAGGAUAUGUUAGAACAGCAGCAACAACAGUUGCAAAGUCAAACACCAGCGCAACAACAGCAGCAACAGUCCCAGCAAGCGCUGCAAGCGCAUCUGCAACAGCAGCAACAGCUCCAACAGCACCAACAGCUGCUCGCCAACAGUCACCAGCUCAUAAGCCAGGCCAACAUGCUGCUGGACAGUAGCGGAAACGAUACAUCCGUGCUCGCACAGCACCUGCUGGAAAUACAGGAUCCCCUGUCGAAGGAAAACUUCCUCGAAGGUUUGGCGAUGGGGUUGCGUCCGCGUGGUCGCCGCAUGACCAGCGGACCAGCAGCGCCUGCCGGAUCUUCAACCACACCACCAAUUGCCGGACAGCAGCAGCAGCAGCAGCAGCAGCAGCAAGAUCAAGCCGUUGUCGCGCAACAACAACUGAUACAAUAUUUGCACCAACAUCAACAGCAAGCGCAACAGCUGCAAGCGGCUCAACCAAUUAUUCUGCAGGGCAAUAACGUCGUUACUCAGCAGCAACAGCAGCAGCAGCAGAUGGCAUCGGCUGGAGGAGCGGCAGGAAAUAAGCAGCAGCGCAGCCUAUUGCGCAAGAAGCAACAGCAACCCACAGUAGCACUGCCAUCGCCAUUCGAGGCAACUCUUUCCGGUGCCGAGGUGCAGCAAGUCCGCAGCGAUCCCAUUGGCGAGGAUAACAAUGGUAGCUGCAGUGCUGGUGGGGUGAAAAACAUUUCCCAGCUGCAACAGCAGCCACCACCGCGUGUGAGCAACGUUGCAAUGCGCUCUGAUUACGAGCUGUAUCAGAAGCAAAUGAGUGAGAUCCAGUUUCAGAAGAAAGCAAAAAUACAGUUCAUCAGUGAUGCAAAAGGUCCACCACCGACCCUUCUGCCGCACACGGAAUCGUACCUUGCCAAUCUGCAAAGCAACUUGCCUCCGUCGCAACAGCAACAACAACAUCAUCAGCUAGCAACAAUAGCUGGCAAUGCAUCCGCCACCGCCGGUGGUGCGUCUGUUGUUUCGGGUGGCCUUACCACCAUCGGCAGCAGCCCGGCCGCUACCAGCAGCACUGGCACCACCCUGACUGCCCCAUCGGAAGUGUCACAAAGCACUGCCAUCAGCGAUCGUCCAAAAGUGAAGCCCGUGUCGAAGAAGGAUGCCAAGAAUAAUCGCAAAACAGCUGCGGCGGCAGCAGCAGCAGCCGCAGCGGCUGUCGCAACCGCCACAGCCUCCGUACAGCAGUUGCAGCAGCAGCAGCAGCAACCAUUCUGGCCUUUGGCGGGAAAUAAUUCGUCCGGCGGCAGUGGGAAUGCUAACGGUGUCUUGCAGCAAAAUCCAAUGGUGUCAAUUUAUAACAACUUGUCUGUGAUUCCAAGUUCCGACCAGAAUGUGCAGCUGUUGCAGCAGUCGAUGGCGAACUUGAAUCUCCAGUCACAGUCGCCCGUAACGCCACCCUCCACCAUCAUGCCAUCAUCGGGUGGUAAAGCAUCGGAAAAGAAGACACCAACUGCGACGGAUGCAGGGAAUGAGGGUAAGACGAGCGAGUUCGUCGUUACCGCGAACGAAACCGAAUCACCGUCGGUUGCUUCCGAGGUGAAAACUGACAGCAGUACGGUUCCUACGCCAGCGCACGCCAAGGCGACCGUCAUCACGAGCACUGUUGCAGCAAAGCGUGCAACGGGCGUUGCGAGCGAUGAUAUCGCCGACGCUGGUUUAGCCGACAAAGAAGCAACAUUGAAUGCCGAACGGCGGGGAAUCAGUGGUAGUGACACUGCCAGUAGCAGCAGCAGCAGCAGCAGCAGCACCACUAGCAGCGCUGGUGAAAGUGGUUCGUCGGGCGGCAAGAUUAACAACAGCUCGGCACCAGGCAGCGGCGGCAACGCGAAAACCAACAGCGUUGAAGGGGGCAGCGUUAUCGUUCCCUCUGGCGGUGAUGCGGUGGUGGGUGGUGGAGAUGGCGAAGGAAGCACCAUCAGCAGUGGUAGCAGCAUCAGCGGCAGCAGCAACAGCAGUGCCAGUGGCAGCGACAGCAGCAGCAGCAGCAGCAGCAGCACCACAACCACCACCAGCGCCAACAACAACACUGCCGACGGUGACGGAGGCGAUGGAGGCACCGGUGCAGGUAAUGGCAAUGGUGAAGAGGAAGCAGGUACCAGUGGCGGGAUCGGUGGUGGAACCGUGUCGAGCAUCGAUCCGGACAACCAGUUCAACCUGUUUGCGAUGGUCGAUCGGAAGCUGAUGCUCAAGAUCGCGCACCGCUUGCUCGGCGACACGUCCAAAUCGCCGUCGGAAACGCCACCGCUGACCAGCUGCCCGGCCGGCUCGAACUUGGAACCGCCCGCUUCACCCCCGCCAGCGCUGAUGAACAAUGCCGAUAUGGAGUAUCCCGAGCUGUCGCGCAUCCUGUGCAGCUUCAGUGGCUCCGACAUAAUGCCUACCCCAGAGUUUGUGCAAGUGCACCAGCACAUGCAAAACAUUAUUCAGCAUAAAAGCGGCAGUAAUCCCAUUAAAUUAGGAGACUCGGCCGACGGUCAUCCGUAUGCGGAGGAGGGCGACGACCAUCUGCCGCCAGUGUUUAACAUCGAGGAAGCGGAUGCGGACGGCAUCGCCGAAUGUGUUGGUGGCAUCUAUCCUGCGCUGGACGAAACACUGGAACAGUAUCACGGCGAGGACGGUACGGUCACGCAAGCACACGGCGGGGCACGCGAAUCGACCUACAACUAUGAAUGGGUGGACAGCAUUGACGAUGUGAUCCACGUGCUUAACGGAUGCCCUGACAUUCCAAUGGCACUGCAACAGGACAUGGCCGCCAACUUCGGAUGCCAGGAAAUGGACGUGUACGCCAAUCUGAUCGGGCUAAACUCGUUCUGCAAGACGCGCUGGACGGGCAACCAGAAUCAGAUCACAUCCGGCACAUCGUCUCCGGUGGAGGAGGACACCGGUAUGGUGACGUUAAGCGAUCCGACGUUCGCUUACCGUACCGGUCAAACCGCUGGUCAACUGUUGGCGUUGGAUCCUCAGCAGUUUUCGAUGGAAUCGAUUCAGCUGCUUAAUCAGCUACAUCAGGCAUCUGUAUCUCAGGCUUCCGCAUCUGGAUCUGUACUGCAUCAUCCGCCGGCAGCGAACGCUGGUGCUGGUGCACCGGGCCAGCAGCCGAAGCUUGUGUUCAAUGUCGAUGCGGAUAAAGCGUCGCAAGUGCAUCUACUGUUCCAGCUGCCUACCUUGCAAUCUCAGCAGCAGCAACAGCAGCAGCAGCAGCAGCAGCAAAUGAUGCAAGAUCAGCAGCACGACCACAUGAACAUGAUAGCCAACAAUAAUCAACAGCAGUCGCAAAAUUCGCAGCAGUCACUAUCGCUGCAACAAGCGGCGGCUGGUCAGCAGCAGCAGCAGCAGCAGCAACAACAGUGCAACAUCGCCGCAAUGCAGCCGCAUGCAGCGGCUGCAGCAGCUGCCGCUGCCAUCCAGCACGCUCAGCUGCAGCAGCAACUACACGCGCAGGGUAUGACAGCUGGCCAUACCGGUUCAGCGGUACUGCAGCAGCAGCAGCAGCAACGAAUGCAGCAUCUGCAGUCCCAGGCCCAGGGACAGCAGCAGUUGCAACAUUUGCAUCAAUCGCAGCAAGGACAGCAGCAGCAACAGUCACAACAGCAGCAGCAGCAGCACUGUUUACAACACGCCCAAAUGCAGGUAUCUACCCAAACGCCCCAACAUCAGCAGCAUGUCGCCGCAUCUGCCAGAGGUGACGAGGAGAUGUCUCCGUUGGUUAGAACGCAGCAUUUCGCGCUGAUGGACAGCAACAACCAGCCGACGACGGCCAACGCUGGCAGUGGAAAGCUGGGCGGAGGUGGUGGCGGUGGUGCUGGUGGCAAAAAGGGAGAGAAAAAUCGUAAAGAAAAGAACCGACUGGCUGCUGUGCCAGCGGUGCGUCAGGCACCGGCCGGACAGCAGAGUGCUGGAGCAGCAGCAGCAGCAGGCGGACAGCUGCAAAACUACCAGUACGACAGUGGCAGCACCAAUGGCAAUGCGAGAUCGGUCGGCGGAGCGAUGGACAUCCCUCCACCAAGCGGCACCGUUCAACCGUUCCAUGGUGGUGGCAGUGGCAUGAUGCCUCCGCAGGCCGGCAGUACCGGUGUAUCGGAGCGCACGAUCGAUGUGGAUUCGGAAACGGACUCGAACCAUGACACCGCGCUGACACUCGCUUGUGCCGGUGGGCACGAAGAUAUGGUGGAGCUGCUGAUUACCCGCGGUGCCAAUAUCGAGCACAAGGACAAGAAAGGCUUCACACCGUUAAUACUGGCAGCGACCGCCGGUCACGAGAAGGUGGUGGAUACGCUGCUGCGCAACGGUGCCGAGAUUGAGGCACAGUCGGAGCGCACCAAGGACACACCGCUGUCGUUGGCCUGCUCGGGCGGACGGUACGAGGUGGUUGAGCUGCUGCUUAGCAUGAACGCUAACCGGGAGCAUCGCAACGUGUCCGACUACACGCCGCUCAGCUUAGCUGCCAGCGGUGGCUACGUGAACAUCAUCAAGCUGUUGUUGCAGCACGGCGCAGAGAUAAACUCGCGCACCGGCAGCAAACUGGGCAUCUCGCCGCUCAUGCUUGCCGCCAUGAACGGGCAUGUGGCGGCCGUGAAGCUGCUGCUCGACAUGGGUUCGGAUAUAAACGCGCAGAUCGAAACCAACCGCAAUACGGCGCUAACCUUGGCAUGCUUCCAGGGGCGCCAUGAGGUGGUCAGUCUGCUGCUCGAUCGUAAGGCGAACGUGGAGCACCGGGCCAAAACCGGCCUCACGCCACUGAUGGAGGCAGCUUCGGGCGGCUACAUCGAUGUGGGGCGCGUGCUGUUGGACAAGGGUGCAGACGUUAAUGCUGCCCCGGUGCCAUCGUCCCGCGACACCGCACUCACCAUAGCGGCCGACAAGGGUCACCUGAAGUUUGUCGAGCUGUUGCUGUCGCGUGGCGCGCUUGUCGAGGUGAAGAACAAGAAAGGUAAUUCGCCCCUCUGGCUGGCAGCGAACGGGGGACAUCUGGGAGUGGUGGAGCUGCUAUGCAGCUCGGGCGGCGAUAUUGAUUCGCAGGACAAUCGCAAAGUGUCCUGCCUGAUGGCGGCUUUCCGCAAGGGCCACACGAAGGUCGUAAAGUGGAUGGUGGGCCAGGUAACACAGUUCCCGUCCGACCAGGAGAUGACGCGCUACAUCAACACGAUCAGCGAGCAGGAGCUGUUGGAGAAGUGUCACGACUGUGUGAAGGUGAUUCGUGCCGCCAAGGAUCAGCAGGCUACCAAGGCAAACAUUAACGCUUCGAUUCUGCUGAAGGAGCUCGAUCUCGAACGGUCGCGAGAGGAAAGCCGCAAGGCGGCAGCGGCCAAGCGGCGGGAAAGAAAGAAGCGACGCCGGGCGGAGAAGCGCGAGCAGCAGCGCAAGCUGGAGAUGGGCGAGGACGGUGAGGCCGAUGGCAACGACGAAGAUGACGAGGAGGAAGAGGCGGAAGAUGAGAAGGAAGAGGAGGAAGAGGAGGAGGAGGAGGAUGUUGAUAGUGAGCAUGACGAGGACGAAUUGCUUCUCUCCGCUGCCAUGACGCAACAGGCCGCCAUCAACAGUGGCAAGAAUAAGAACCGCAAUGCAAACCAUCCAUCGUCCCAGGCGCAUCACAAGUCGCAGCAGAAUCACCGCGAGAAGGAGAAGGAAGGCAAGGGCCGGGAGAAGGAGAAAGAGAAGGAGAAGCAUAAGGAGACGGAACGAGGAGCGAAUCAAUCGUCCUCCUCUUCCUCCUCCUCCUCCUCCUCCUCCUCUGGCAGCAGCGCUAAUCAGCAGCGCCAGCAACACCAACAGCAGCAAAACAAUGGGCAGCUGUACCAGUACCGGCCCAUGUCGAUCCCGUACCAGGUGCAGGAGGAAGGUGAUUCCGGCAUCGAUGCCAACAGUUUGGGCUCAUGUUCCAGCUCCGAGGUGAAGUCUUCUUCGAACGGCAACAGCGCCCUGGAGCAGAAGAAGAACAACAAGAAGCGAAAGCAACAGCAACAGCAGCAGCAGCAGCAGGCACAAACGGCCCGCGGUACGAUCGCUUCCACGAAUGCUGCCGGUGCAGCGCGUGCGGCCAAGGCCGCUGCCGUUGCAAGCGCGUCCACUGGUGGUGGCAAAUCGUCCAACAGUGCGCAGCAAAGCAUCAGCAACAAUAAUCGCCAAUCGAAAAGUCCCGAAACCGGGUCGGCUGCCGCAUCGUCGUCCGUGUCGUCGAACGGUAAUGCUGUGGUGCAGGAUAAAAACUCGAAAGAAAAGAAUCGACGUCAGCAGCAGGAGAAGGAACAGCAAUAUGGUGGUGGUGGUGGCGGCGGCGGCGGCGCCGGAAGAGAAAAGCGCGACAAGGCAACGCUCGAGAAGGAAAACGUUGCACCGAAGGAUCAUCACGAUCGUUCCGGUGCCCUAUCGACGAUGGCAACAGCAAAGAAUGAUAGCAAAAAAUCAUCCGCCAAUGAUCAUCAUCAUCACCAUCAUCACCAUCAGCAGCAGCAGACGGGAAGCAACAGCAGUACGGCCGGUGGUGGUGGUGGUGCAACGCAUCAGACUUCGCAGCAGCAAACCGGCGUGCCGGGUAAUCGCAAAUCGAUUAUCGUUUUCGGUUCGGGCAACCGACACACCUCGGAUCAGAACGAUGAACUGCAAACUGGUGGUAACUAUUACAACACAGGCGCCAAUGCUGGUGGAAAGAAAACGCACGGCAACAAAACGUUUUACAACACCACGGCCAACAGUGAGGAUCAUCACGGGCAUCACGGCAAGAUGUCGUCCGCCAGUCCGAUGAAGCAACAUGCCGGUGGAAUGAGUGUGUCGCAGCAGCAGCAGCAGCAGCAGAAUGCAAUCGCAGGUUCACAGACCAACUCGUCGAUGGGUGUAAAGCGUGAGGAAGGCUGGAAAGAGGUCGUUCGCAAGAGCUCAGUACAGCAGAGCAGCGGCGGUGGUGGUAGUGCUGGUGGUGGUGGUGGCGGUGGCAGCGGAAGCAACAGUGGCGGUGGUGGCGGCGGAGGAGGCGGCAGCGGAUCGUCUUCCUCGCCGAUGGAAUGUCGCAAGGUGCAGGUGCCGGUGCAUGCGAUUUCGCGAGUCAUAGGCCGAGCCGGAAGCAACAUCAACGCCAUCCGUGCCGCAACCGGGGCGCACAUCGAGGUGGAAAAGCAAGGCAAGAGUCAGGGUGACCGGUCGAUCACUAUCAAAGGUUCGCAGGAAGCGACCAAACAAGCACACUCGCUUAUCGUUACCCUCAUUAAGGACCCGGACGUGGAUAUACUGCUAAUGCUGCCCAAGCACAGCUCUAGCAGCGGCAGCUCGGCUCAGAAAAGCUACGGAUCGUCUUCAGCAUCUGCCACCAGUGGAACGACGGCCGGACAGAACGUCACGUCGUCGAUGCCGUCCUCGGCACCCUCGGCACAACAGCAGUCACCGGUCAUCGUGCCUGCAGCGAUUAUUCCUACGAAUGGUGCUGCUCCGACCAUGUCGGCUAUUGUGGCAUCCGGUGGUGUAGCAGCGGCUGCAGCCGCAGCAGCAGCAGCUGCUGCGGCCGCUGCCGCCGCCGCCGGCAACCACCCGGCAACAGGUUCUGCCAAAGGUGGAAAGAGUGUGUUCGGUGCUUCUAGCAAGUCGGCGAAUGCUGGUGCCACCGGUGGAAACGUCUCAGUGGGAGGUAACGCUGGCACCGGAAGCACCAUGGGUGGAAUGGUUAACAGUAAGACUACUCCGUCCACUCAAGGUUCGAUCGCGUCCAACUCGAACGCCACCGUACGGACAUCGACCACCAAGAAUCUGUUCCUAUCCUCGACAAGUGCGCAACAGCAGCAACAAUCCCGCGCACUAACGGCUGCUAGCAGCAAUAGUGCCACCGUCAACAGCGGCAGCAUGCCAUAUGCCGUUGCAGCUUCUGCUGCCGGACAGGGAAAGGAUUCCAAGCGACAGCCGGCCGCUUCGUCGCAGCAACAGUCGUCCUCCAUCGUGCUCUCGGCUAGCGGUGGUCCGAAGGGACCGCUCCACCAUCCAGGCCUUGCUACGACGGGGCCAUCGGGUGCCGGUGGCAGUGCAGCGACGGCACCGUUCGGAAGUGUGGGAAUGCAAUCGAUGAAGUCGAAAAAUAGCAACAACCUCAAAGCAUCUUCCAACGCAGCAGCAGCAGUACCACAGGCAGGUGGUACGAAUGGUGGCAACGGCACCGGCGGAUCGGCCGGAUCGUUCGCCAAACUGGUCGCAUCCGACGGAAACGGUCAAAAGAAAGCCUUCCCCAGCUCCGGUUCCGUUGGCAACUGUGGUUCGAAUGCGGCUGCCAUUGUGCCGCAACAAGGACAACAGCAGCAGCAGCAGCAGCAGCAGCAACCAGCAGUGGGAGUUAUCGGAGGCCGUGCCCCGGCGCAAGUACAGCAAUCGCCUGCUAAAGGUGGUGGAUCUGCGGGCCUGCCCGUACCGUUUGGUAGUAACGCCAGUACAGCAGUGUCACCAUCGACCGGUUCCCAUCUGAUUUCAUCCAGUGCUUCUUCUUCGCAUCAGUCAAGCCAGGGAGGAGGGGUCGGUGCCGGACAGCAAAAGAUUUCGUCGUUUAUUCCACCGAUUGCGACGAGCGGCCCGGGGCCAACGAUCGUGGAAGCAUCCGCUGUACCGCCAUUACCGCCCAUUAGCGUACCAAACACAGCGAAUCCACUUGCAGCACCGGGAAGCGGUCGGUCAAUCACCCCGAUCGGGCAACCACCGUCAUCGUCCGCAGCGUCGUCGUCCGCCGUUGGUUCCGUGUCGACCAUCUCGUCGUCGUCCGCCUCGUCAACAUCGUCGUCCGUGACGACCGGGCCGAUUGGAAGUCGUAGCGUUACCACACCAUCGCCCCUGCUGCAACAUCAGCAACCAUCCGCAACUUCGCCCACAAUUGGUGGUCAGUUGCACACGAAGAUGCAACCGCCCAUCGGACCGCAUCAUCAGCAGCUGCCACCACCGUCGCCUCCACCGUCGAACGUAUAUUCGCUGUUUAACGACCCGUUCACCAACAGCCAGUGGGGUGUGGGUGGAAAUGGGGCCGGCAGCAAUGUGGGGGGCGAUGUUGGCAAACCGCCACUGUACGGUGGUCAUCACCAUCAGCAACAGCAUCACCAUCUGUCGCACGGUAAUAUGGCGCCACAUCAUCAUCAGCAACAUCAUCAGCAGCAUAGCAGCAGUGUGGGUGGUGUGACCGGGGGUGGUGUUUUGGGCACAUUCAUGGAGAACCCGCCUACUCUGCAGGUUGACGCUUCGAAGGCUCCGGGAUACCGGGGAAAUGCCAUUUCUUCGCCAGUGAGCUCGAAGGUUUCGAGUAAUGCAACAACUCCACCAUCCUCGAGCAUGUCGUCGCAUCAGCAUCAGCAGCACCAGCAGCAACCUCCAAUGCACCAAGCAUUGCAGCAGCAGCAGCAGGCCAAUGGAGCACAUCUAAAUCUCCAUCUCCAGUCCCAGCAGCAGCUUGGCUCUCAUCAGCAACAGUCGCUAGGAGGGUUAGGCCAUAUACUGGGUGGUGCGAACAGCAGCAGCAGCAACAGCACAUCUCCCCUCGCUGCCCUGGGAGGUGGUGGCCAACCACAGCAACCCAGCUCAUCCUCCGCAGUGGUUUCACGGGACGCCGGAGUGGUGAACAUGGUCGGUGGUGGACAUGCGGUGUCAUCUGCCUCCUCGUCUGUAUCGUCAUCCGUGUCCGGUGGUGGUCAGCAACAUCAGCAACACCAUCAACCAUCCUACCAGUCGUCCAAUGAGCCACCGAAUGUCGGUAUGAAACCGGCGCAGCCUCAACCAUCCUCCGCCAUGCAUGGUAAUGGUGGGCAAGGAGCUGGAGCUGGUUUGGGCAUGCUGCGCUCGAUGAUGAACAUGUCCGCGCAUAUGCGCCAUCCGGCAGGUGGAAAUGGUCCGCCCGACUAUCUGGGUGGUGCCGGUGGACGCGACCAUACGCAGCAACCACCCGUCGGUAGCUCUCGGCCGCCGCCACUAAUGUACGACGGUACGGGAGCUGGCGGUGGGCCGCCGGAUUCGCUGCAAUCCUCCUACCAACCGCACCUCGGUCUCGGUGGCAACGGGAACGCUGGUUUGCCACCGAUCUCCCGCCUCAAUCCCAAAGCGUCGGCAUUCUCCGGUGGCAUCGGUCCAUCGGUUAUGCCGCCGACGCAGCACCAGCCGGGUAAGAUGAGUAUGGCCAAUAACCAUCAACCGUACGGUGGGAAUAAUGCGGGUGGUGGUGGAGGAGGAUCUGGAAUGUUUCAUCCGCCACCGCCGAUUGGCAUGGGCGGUGGAGGAAAGUAUCCGUCGAUGUCGUCGUACAGCCUCGCACCGGGACGCCCCAACAGUCAGCAGCCACCGCACGGUGGUGGCGGUAAUGGUGCCGGCGGCACCGGAGGUCCACCGCCUCCGAUGAGCGGCGGAAUGCAUCAUCGUGGCGCGACGGGCGGCGGAAACAAUUGGUUCUCGUCCGACUUAAGCCACCUGCAGCGUGAUAAUUUGAUGGGCAUGGAGAAUGGGCUCGCGAUGGCACUGAAUGCUGCCACGGUCGCAGCCGGCGGUUCGCCCAACAACAUAUCGCCCAACAACAACAACAACAACAGCAAUGCGCAGCACACCAUCAACGGUGGUGUGAGCGGACUGGUGGCGCAGCACCACCACCAGCAGCAACAGCAGCAGUCGAUGAUGGACGAUUCGCGGAAGCUGCCGCGCGCCAUCGGUACCGAGCGGGCCUGGAAGUAUGGCGGCAACGGGAACGUUGGUCUGGUGGGCAGUGGCAGUGGCGGGGGGGCCGCCGGUGGUGCCGGAAACAAUGCUGCUGGCAACAUGUACAACGCUGCCAUGGUGACGGCCUACGUUGGGCUGGAUGGGCCGGAUAUCAUAAACGGUGGCGCAUCGCCCGCAGCCCUAGCUGCGGCAGCGGCUGCCGGCAACCAACCGUGGAUGGGUAUGGACAAAAAUCAGUUCAUGGGUGGUGGUGGUGGUGGUUUGGGAGGCUCCCAGCAACAGCAGCAUCAGCAGCAGCAGCAGCAGCAGCAGCCUCCUCUGCCGUGGCUUACACCGGCAGGAAUGGGCCGACAGUACAUGGAUGACAUUCACAUACCGGAUCAUUUCCAGCAACUGCAGAUGGACUAUCAUAGCACCAUCGGUGGAGCUGGACCGAGCGGACCCAAUCAACCGAACAUGAACUUCAUGCAGUAUCCAUUCACACCAUCGAACGAUAUGGUGGGAACGGCAGAGCUGCGACCACCGUGGGAACAUGAAAAGCAUGGUUGGUCGCAAAAGUGGUCGGGACACUAGAGGCAGACGCCGGACAGUUGUGCGAUGCGAGAAGCUAACGAUACACACCAACAACAGCAGUACACCGGAAACAAACCGGUCCCCGCUUCUCUUUAGGGCGCCAUCAUCGGCAAUUAGAAAGGGUUUAGCCUAGUAGAAGGAACUAGUUAGCAGCAGAAAGAAGUUGCGCGCGUGUUGGGUUUGGAGCGAGAGACCGCUUUGAGGAGGGCGUACCGAAAUGAUGCGGAUGAACAAGAUGAACGCUAAUCUCAACCGUGUGUGUGUGUCUUAUAUACUGCUUUCCGAUACAAGCACAGAUCAAUUUUACGUUUGGAGACGAAGAUGAAGAUCUCCUAUUUCCUAUCCCCCUCUUUCACACUAUGCGUAGCUCAUCCAUGCUGAUUCGUCUGGUGGCAGUAUGAACAAAUCGGCAAACCGGUAAGAAGGGUACGUACGCGAUGUUGUGUACCCCGUCUCGCACGCUUCUAGUGAUGUGAUCGUUAUCGUGUUGCUGAUGUAGAGGAAAACAAAAAAAACAAAACAAUAUCAAACCAGAGCCAAAUGCAUAGCAGCAGCAGCAGCAGCAAGGGAAAAAAGGAACGCGGAAAAGGAUUAAUAAUACCAGUACACUAAUAGCAUCUACUAGAUUAAUAUCUACCUACCUACAUUACACACUACUCUUAUCAUUAAUACUAUCACUUAUAAAGCUACCCUUGGAUGCUCUACCGUCAGCUAAAAGCGCGCGCGUAAGAAAUUUGAAACAGACACACACAGUAAAACACUACGCUCGAGCCUAUUGAAUAUGAUUGCCUAACAGUGGACGAGACGCACUACUUAGAGAGAGAGAGAGAGAGAAACCCGCUACCGCGAUAGGAGGGCAAAGGGAGUGCUGCCGAUAAAUCACCCACCCAACCCUCCAAGCGUGGUAAUUACCGUAGUUGAUUAUUAUCCCGUAACCAUGUACCGUACCAUCCACGGUAUGUUUGAAUUUCUAGGACUAAUCUACGGUUUUAGAUAAAUGGCCGAAGCUACUCACAUAAAGUGGUCCGGGUUUUGAGAAAAAAAAGCUGCUUCAGCUAACGAUCGCAGGAUGGCGGUAGUUUCGGGUAGCUUAGCAAAACUGAUGUAGCAAUAGUGGAACUAGCAGCGCAAGUAGAAGUGACAUGUACGCUAACAAAACUGAUACUGAUGAUGAGGAUGAGGAGAGAACGCUGGAGCCAUUUGGCACUUGAUUUGGCGCUUACACGCAAAGCAGCAAAGAACGAACGCUUUACCGAGUAGCAGCAGCAGCAGCGAGGAAGAAAUAUGCUUUAGCUCGCUAUAGAGAAUCAAGCGUAUGGAUAGAGGUGUGAGUGGAAGUAUUAAAAGUAAUUCCCUACCCAAUAAUAACCACCAGGCUUCUUCGUUAACGAGUUAUCUAAUGACGAUCGGCAGCCGUUUCGAAUGUUAA